AGCUGGAUCAUUUCUCGAUCAUCCAAAAAUACCUUGAAACAAAACCUUAGUGUGACUUCAUUGUUGCACUAUCCCAAAAAACUUUUCACGUCUUUGUAAGCGCGAAGAAAAAAGGUUCUCCUUUUUUUGCUUACAGGCGUUGCCGCUCAAAAGAAUUCUUUUUUUUUGACCACGGCUCCCACAACGUGUCGCGAUGGAUGACUUGGCUUCCUAUUUCGUUGAAGAACGCAGCAAAGUGCGAUAAGUGGUAUCAAUUGCAGAAUCAUCUAAUUACCGAAUCUUUGAACGCAAACGGCGCUUGUGUGGAAGCCUUCUAGGUCAACACCAAGCAUGCCGCAUUCAGUGUCGUACAAAAACCAAAAGAAAUCCUCUUCUCUUACGAAGAUUCCUUUCUUUGCUAUGACGAGCCUUUGGCUUGGAAAGCGAGAAGGUGACCAUUUUUGUGCCGGCCUCUGUCGGCGCAACAAAUGUGUUAAAUGGAUUUCCGGAAACCGCCGUUCGAAAAAGCGUCAAAACCUUUUUUGGGCGUACGCGGCUUCUCCAAAGAUUUUUCUUGGGCUUUUAGAUUUUGUUUGUCCUGGAAUUUUUGGGAGCACAUCCGACUGAAUCAAAAAACAAAAAUCAUUGCGAUUAUUGUUCCUUUUUGACUCACCAAAAAGUCGGAACAGCACCAAGUUUUGGGAGUGCCACAAAGUCAAUUAAGAGUUCUCUAAAAAAUCCAACCCCAACUUUGGUUCACAGACCUGAGCGCGGCAGGACUACCCGCCGAACUUAAGCAUAUUAUUCAGCGGAGGAAAAGAAAACAACCGUGAUUCCCUCAGUCAGCGGCGAGCGAAGAGGGAUCCAACUCGAUGCUGAAUCGGAGCAAUCCGACUUGUAGCAUUCAAGAGGUUACGUGGAUGGUGCGGGACUGGCGAAAUUCAACGCGCAAAGCAAACCCAUUGCUGAACACAACCCCUCAUGUGAGUAUUGAGCCAUAGAAGGUGUCAGCCCAUUGAGCCAGAAACCCAGCGCCACAUUUGAUCUCACCAAACGAGUAGCACUGCUUGGGAGUGCAGUGUGAAUCGGCAGGUAUGUGUCUGCCAAAGUUAAAUACAGAGUAGGAAGACCGAUAGCGAACAAGUAGCGUGAGCGAAAGUUUGAAAAGCACUUUGGAAAGAGAGUGACAUAGAACCUGAAGUCGUGACAACGACAAUGGACGUACCUCCAUUUCAUCGGCCAAAACCGACCUCCAAGCAUUAUCCUCUGUCGACUUUAGCGCGACGGGGGCAACAAGUGCAGAAGCUGAGGUUCCGGUCCAGCGAGCAGGAGUAAAGUUGGGAGCACCUUCGGGCGAGCCCCUUCUUUCUUGUGAGCUCCAUUUUUGGCGCUGGAGAUGGGGUGCCUCCACCCGUCUUGAAACACGGACCAAGGAGUCAAACAGACGCGCAAGGGAGAAGAUAUGUUUUCGAGUACUUCUCUCGUACUGAAAGGGAGCCAGCAAUGGCGUAUGGUGUGCACAAUUUACUUGCUCAACACCGACCGGCCCGUACGCGGGUUGAGUUCGAGUGUGCCUGUUUGGACCCGAAAGGUGGUGAACUAUGCCUGAACAAGGUGAAGCCCGGGGAAACCCAGGUGGAGGCCUGUAGCGAUGCUGACGUGCAAAUCGCUCGCAUGAUUUGGGUAUCGGAGCGAAAGACUCAUCGAACCACCUAGUAGCUGGUUCACAU
rnacentral:misc_RNA from 1 species